rnacentral:rRNA from 1 species
CCACUUCGGUGGGGAUUAGUGGCGAACGGGUGAGUAACACGUGGGCAAUCUGCCCUGCACUCUGGGACAAGCCCUGGAAACGGGGUCUAAUACCGGAUAAUACUCCCGUGCUCAUGUGCGGGUGUUGAAAGCUCCGGCGGUGCAGGAUGAGCCCGCGGCCUAUCAGCUUGUUGGUGAGGUAAUGGCUCACCAAGGCGACGACGGGUAGCCGGCCUGAGAGGGCGACCGGCCACACUGGGACUGAGACACGGCCCAGACUCCUACGGGAGGCAGCAGUGGGGAAUAUUGCACAAUGGGCGGAAGCCUGAUGCAGCGACGCCGCGUGAGGGAUGACGGCCUUCGGGUUGUAAACCUCUUUCAGCAGGGAAGAAGCGCAAGUGACGGUACCUGCAGAAGAAGCGCCGGCUAACUACGUGCCAGCAGCCGCGGUAAUACGUAGGGCGCAAGCGUUGUCCGGAAUUAUUGGGCGUAAAGAGCUCGUAGGCGGCUUGUCACGUCGGGUGUGAAAGCCCGGGGCUUAACCCCGGGUCUGCAUUCGAUACGGGCUAGCUAGAGUGUGGUAGGGGAGAUCGGAAUUCCUGGUGUAGCGGUGAAAUGCGCAGAUAUCAGGAGGAACACCGGUGGCGAAGGCGGAUCUCUGGGCCAUUACUGACGCUGAGGAGCGAAAGCGUGGGGAGCGAACAGGAUUAGAUACCCUGGUAGUCCACGCCGUAAACGGUGGGAACUAGGUGUUG